UUCGAUGCAAUGUGAAUCUGACUUUUUCUAAGUAAUCCUCAUAACCAGGUGCUAUCUCUGAUACCCCUCAUCUUGAGUCCAUACGUAUGCCAUUAUGCGUUUCUUUUCAUGAAGUUGUAACUUCUUAAGUGUUCAAGGGGAGUUUUUAUGUCUUCAAAAAUGAUAGGUCUUGUUAAGUGGUUUAACGAAGAUAAAGGUUUUGGUUUUAUCUCCCCACUCGAUGGAAGUAAAGAUAUUCUUGUUCACUCUUCUUCACUACAGGGAGAGACAUUCAAAACUCUUUUUGAAGGACAAAAAGUGAAAUUUGUUAUCAUUGCCGGUACUAAAGGUCCGACAGCUGCAAAUGUUACGCUCUGCGAUAAAUAACCCCCUCAAGGGCCGUUUAAGCUUAUACG
rnacentral:sRNA from 1 species